rnacentral:rRNA from 1 species
GCCAGACUCCUACGGGAGGCAGCAGUGGGGAAUAUUGCACAAUGGGGGAAACCCUGAUGCAGCGACGCCGCGUGAGUGAAGAAGUAUUUCGGUAUGUAAAGCUCUAUCAGCAGGGAAGAAGAAGGACGGUACCUGAGUAAGAAGCCCCGGCUAACUACGUGCCAGCAGCCGCGGUAAUACGUAGGGGGCAAGCGUUAUCCGGAUUUACUGGGUGUAAAGGGAGCGUAGACGGCGAUACAAGUCUGAAGUGAAAGCCCGGGGCUCAACCCCGGGACUGCUUUGGAAACUGUGUUGCUGGAGUGCUGGAGAGGCAAGCGGAAUUCCUAGUGUAGCGGUGAAAUGCGUAGAUAUUAGGAAGAACACCAGUGGCGAAGGCGGCUUGCUGGACAGUAACUGACGUUGAGGCUCGAAAGCGUGGGUAGCGAACGGGAUUAGAUACCCUUGUA